UUUCUUACAGUAAUAAACCAUCAACUCAUCCCCUCAAUCAUCAUCAAGUCAUGUUAAAGGUAUACAUUUCCCUGAAAUGGCUAGCAAAAAAGGACUCAGCCGAGAAGUUAUUGUAACCCGAUCCCGUGUUGCUGGAUGUACAUAAAUACCAGUUACCAGUUACCAGUUACCAGUUAGCAACGAAGCAGCCCAUGUUUAUACGAGUGUGGAUGGGACUGGGCUGACGUUUAUGAAAAGCCAUCGCAGCAUCAAAGCCAAUUAAGAUACCGGGCAUAUACUGGGUACAAGCUCUAAAGGAAUACGCGGCUAAUUUCUGCGACAAAGCCGACAAACGAUCGGAGUCUCCUCCUCUCUCCGUUUUUGGGGGCAGAAAGGAAGAGGCAAGCGAGCGAGCGGCACUUUUGUCGCAAACACACAGGCCAUAAAAUUAAGAACUCUGAUUGGUAACAAAUGUUUUUGUUCAUUCGAGUGAUAAAAACGUAGCGAACCGAAAAGAUAUAAAGUUCUCUUUAGUGUCUUCUCCCCAGUGCGGGGAUGAUAAAAUAUUUAAAUGAGCGCCGAAAUGGUAUGGUUCUCGGCUUGCUGGCGAUCGUCUUCGAUCCGAUCGGAUCGAAUUGGACAUUUGGGAAAUCACAGAAAGAGGGAGAGAGAGAGGAGGAAAACAACCAAAAAACCUUAAUGGCCGCGCACACACGAACCCUAAGACAAACAGUGGGCUUAAAGCAAAGACCAAGGGCAAAAGUGUGAAACAGCGAGCGGCGUAACGCCAAUAGCAUUCGUUGAUAACCACUGUGUGUCGAAGGGUAAGUCGGUCGGUCGGUCGGCUGUCAUGAUUAAGCAAAAGUCCAAUGCCAGUCCUAGGAUAUUAAAUUACAGGCCAUAACAGAGGAGGGACAGGGGUAAGGACCCAUUCCAAAGGCUUGCCCAGUUUCUCUUUGGGACUGGCCGACACAGAGACGACCAACGACCAAGCCCAAAAGCCAGAGACUUGGAGACCUGAAGAAACGAAACGAAACGACAUGAAACGGCCACGACAAAAUCAUAAAAGGCAUAAACAGUUGUAAAGACCCAAACCACAAAGGGCGUAGAAUCAAAAUUGAGCACUAAAACGUUAUCGAGGUCGGCACAGAUUAACUAGCCUUUUUGCUGUUGACUCGACGAUGGACGAGGGACAUCGGACACUGGACACUGGACAAGCGGAUGCCACAACCAGGCAUUCAGCAGGUAGGUAGUUCAUUCUGAAAUAUCGAAUGCAUCUUAAAGAUACUUGUGCGACAUUACGAUCAUUACUCUGUGUAACAGAUAUAUACACU